GUCUACAGCCAUGCUACCCUGAACAAGCCCGAUCCCGUCUGAUCUCGGAAGCUAAGCAGGGUCAGGCCUGGUUAGUACUUGAAUGGGAGACCACCUAGGAAGACCAGGUACUGUAGGCA
rnacentral:rRNA from 1 species